GCUGACGUAGCUCAAUCGGCAGAGCACCGGUUUUGUAAACCGGCGGUUGGGGGUUCGAUUCCCUUUCGUCAGCU
rnacentral:tRNA from 1 species